rnacentral:rRNA from 1 species
UACGUAGGGUCCGAGCGUUGUCCGGAAUUACUGGGCGUAAAGAGCUCGUAGGCGCCUGUCGCGUCGACCGUGAAAACCCGCAGCUCAACUGCGGGCUUGCGGUCGAUACGGGCAGGCUCGAGUUCGGUAGGGGAGACUGGAAUUCCUGGUGUAGCGGUGAAAUGCGCAGAUAUCAGGAGGAACACCGGUGGCGAAGGCGGGUCUCUGGACAGUUCCUGACACUGAGGCACGAAGGCCAGGGGAGCAAACGGG